AAGGGCCGAGUUAUUUAGACACCGAGAUGGGAUGUUUCACUGUUUCAAAGAGUAAGAAGAAAUUGUCUGAGCAGAGUAUCCACAUCAAACAUGUGAACCCUCAGGAGCAGUCACCUACCACACUGCCUGAACCCCAGAUACACACAAGAUCAUUGCGCUCCGCACCACCUAGUUUUAGAACAAGAGUGAAACCAGUGCAGUCAAACAAUGGAGUAACAAGCAGUAGGACACGAACUCUAUCCGCCCCAUCAAGUCUUGACUCAGCAGAACAACAUGCUCUGGCGACAAAUGAAUAUGAGGAACAUGAAGAGUUGAGGAGUCGUGUUGGAUCAGCAAAGGAAUACUGCUCACCAGUUCCUCAGCCUCUUCCUCUUCCAUCACCUCAGAAUGCUGCUGCUUCUCUCAGGACUAUGAGAAGCUUCAAAGUAGGGAAUACAAGUGGCCCUCUCAAUGCCUCUGGACCGUUACCGCUGCCUCCUGUGCUGCCUCCUACACUGCCUUCUACUGGAAUGCUGCGUAACUUUUCUUUUGAUGAAAUUGCUGCUGCAUGCCACCAUUUCUCUCCGGAUCGUUGUAUGUCAGAAGGUCUUUCUUCUGUCAUUUACAGAGCUUCUUUUGGGGACGAUGCCUCUGGUGCAAAGAAGCUUGAGGCCUCUAUAACACGCCUUCACCCUUCUUCACAGGUAAUGUUCAAUGACAUUGGCACGUUGACUUAUUAUUCUAGCUGUGUGUCACCGGUCUAGUUUGGUGUCUAGACUUGACAAGGUUCAUAAUUGGCUAGAUUUAGCAGUACUGUUUCUCAGCACUUGUUACCCUUUCUGUUCUACAGCUGCAGAGAACUGAUAUUGUCCAAAUCAGGAAUUUGCAGGACAUAAGCCUGCUCAAACUGCACUUCUAAAUUUCAUUUUUUGGAUCAUGCAUUACUUACAGGGUGGUGUCAUAUCCGUUGUUGGGUGGAGGAGUCAACUUUUCAGUUUAUGAGGUUUUAGCGAGUCUGACAUUUUAAAACUGAUCUCACUGUCUUUUCGGCUUUUUCAGGCUUUGAAGGAAUUUGUCAACGAGGUGAACACCCUGGCGUCUUUGCAACACUCUUCACUUUGUAAACUGAUUGGUUUUCAUGCUCGUGAAGGUUCUGAGCACAGGAUGUUGGUUUUUGAGAGACUUUUCCAUGGAAGCCUAGACCGGCUUUUGUUCGGAAGAUCAGAUGGCCCCCCUAUAGAUUGGAAUG
rnacentral:lncRNA from 1 species